rnacentral:tRNA from 1 species
GGGCCAUUAGCUCAGUUGGUUAGAGCGCCUGACUUUUAAUCAGGGUGUCCCGCGUUCGAGUCGCGGAUAGAUCACCA